AUAAUAAUAAUAAUAAUAAUAAAGAACGUAAAAAAAAACAGGACUUUUGCAAAAAUAGGGUUGGGUAGACCACAAAAACCUGUACAAUAUUAUGACCACAAUGCUAAGAUUAGGAUAUUUAUCCUAAUAAAAAUAAUAGAGCUAAGAAGACCUGUUAAACUUUGAAUAACUAAAUGGAUACACAAAUGCAUAUAUGCUAUAGCAAAUUUAGGACUGUAUUUUAAAACUAGUGAAGGUUGCUUAAUGGAAGGCUUAAGGAAGGGAUGAGACUGCUUAGUUGUGUAGGCAAGGGCAAAUGUUCAAAGAUGGGAAAGCACCAUGCUAAAAGCUCCUCCAAGAAGGAGCAUGUAGACAAACAGCCCAGCAUGAUGGGGCUGGGGUGGGUAAAGGCAUCAUGUCCAGUAUUCCCACUAUCCAUCUCUCUGUGGCAAAUGUAUUCAACCAUGCUAGUGUACCUUCUCCUCGCUGCUGCUCCUUGGUGCAACAAAUCUUUGACAUCCUGGGAAAAAUCAAGCAGCUUGCAUGUUAUUGUGCUAUCAUUCCUCUAGUUAUCAGUCUUGCCUUGUUUUACAGUAACAUGUGUUACAGGGUCAUAUGUAUAGCAGAGCAGUCCACAGAUGCAGAUGAGGGGUUGUAGCUCUCAAUGAAUCGCAGGCUUCAUGAGCAGAAUAAGCAAUGACUCUCAGAGAUAUAAUAGAAUUCAGUGAGAGACAUGAGUCUCUCCCUCUGUCCCUCCCUCCCUUUCCAGCCUGACCAGGCUACUAUCCACUCCCCUCCUUGGUUUCAGAUUUCCUUUUCUUAACUAGCUUGUGAGCUUCUUGAGAGAGGGCUCUGUCAUAUUCCUCUAUGUGCUCUGAGGGCCCAGCACAGAGGCCCCAGAGCAGAAUGUUUGCAUUACAGUUGAACUUCCUUUUGUAAGUUGAGAAAAAUCCAGGACCCACUGAAGAGGUUCCAGACCUCAUUGAGGGCAUCAGAUCCACUGGACCACCAUGAGGCCAGGAUGGAGACACUACUGGGACAGGGACAGUGUUUCAUUCAGUACCAUCUCCUGCAUCUCUGUUGGUCCCACGUGACACGGGAACUGCUCAGUGGGUCCCAACCCUACUUUAUCCAGGAGAGGGACAUGAUGGGGCUCACAGAACAGCCUCCUUCUCAGCCCUCCUUCAUUUCCCUUCCUUGCCUUCCUUCUUUCCUGUCCUCCUUCCCUUCCUUCAUUCCUGUCCUUUCUGCCUUCCUUCAUUCCUCUUAUCCUUUCCUCCUUCCUCUCUCCCAAACUCUUUCCUUCCUUCCUCCUGUCCUUCCUUCCUGUCCUCUGUCCCUUCCUUCCUCCCAUCCUUUCUUCCUUCCUCUUUCCCAUCCUCUUUCUUUGUUCCUUCCUUCCCUUUUUCUUUCCUCUCUCUCUCCCUUCUUCCUCCCUUCCUUCUUCCUUCCUUCUUUCCUGUCUUCCCUCCCUUACUCCUCCUUCCAUCCUUCCUUCCCUGCCUCUCUUCUCCCUUUCCCUUCCCUUCCCUUCCCUUCCCUUCCUUUCCCUUCCUUCCAAUUUGUUGAGCCCCUAUUCCAUGCCAGAUGCUAGACAAGGUCCUAGGGAUAAAGUGGUGAGCAAAAAGGCAUGAAAUCUGUCUUCACAGUGCUUCCAUAUUGCCUGUAGUUUAAGAGCUUAACCUCUGAAGCCAGAUCUCCUCAGUCUGAUACUUGACCCUUUCCUUUACUCACUAUAUGAACUUGGUGAAAUUCCUUUCUGGAUAUCAGUUUUCUCUGCUGUCAAAUGAGGCUCAUGACAACCUAUUUCAGAGAGUUAUCGUGAAUGUUAAAUUAAUUGAUAUGUAAAGUACUUAGAUUAGUACCUGACACAGUAAAUGCCCAAUAAAUAUUAACAGGAAUUGCUAGUAUGAUAACUGCUAUAUAGAGACAAUAAGUCAACAAAUCAAUAUAAAAUCACAAGAAGCAAUGUGUGUUAUGAAUGCAAAGAACUGGGUGGGACUUGCCUAUAACUUAGAACUAUGUUUUCCCUGGGGUGUAGCUCUGGAACUAGUUGAAUAUGUAAACAUUAUCUGACCAAAGAGUUGGCAAAUGAUUGUGCCUAUGGAUCAUGAAGAUCUCUAAAUAUCCUCUGAUUUUGAAGAAUAACAUUGGGAACCUUUUUAAAGAGAAUGAUCAGAUAGGGCCUCUCUGAGGAGGGGAUGUAGAUAAAUGGUAUAAACACUGAAACUGGCAGAAGGAGGGUAGUGUAAGAGAGGCAUUACAGUUGGAGGAGAGAUGGGAAUGGUCACAGGCAGGAAAAAGCCACCAACAAUGAUCAGGUGUUGAGGCCUUUGACCUGUGGGGUCUGUGCUUGGCCGGUUUUAUUAAAAGAAUCUUUGUUCCUUGACUGCCAGUUAAAGUGUCACUCUAUGUGCAGUCCUCCAUUAGGGCUUUUGCAUACUGGAGACCAGGCAGUUGCCUCCCAUAUCUUGAUGAUUCUAGCACUCAUGUCAGGUUAUUACCAUGAGCCCCUCUGUCCUGCCUGCUGAACUCUGCACCACUAUGUCGGCUAGGCCAUUGUUUCAUUUCUUAUGUUAGGCUUGAGAAAAUUUAAGAAAGGAAAUAUAAGAAUAGACAUUUCUAGGUACUUUGGUCUAAAUUCAAUCCCAAUCCUUAAGGGUGGUUUGGCUUGUUUGUUUGUUUUGACUUUAAGUUCUGGGAUACAUGUGCAGAACGUGCAGGUUUGUUACAUUGGUAUACCUGUGCCAUGGUGGUUUGCUGCACCUGUCAACCCAUCAUCUAGGUCUUAAGCCCUACAUGCAUUAGGUAUUUCUCCUAAUGCUAUCCCUCCCCUAGCCCGCCACCCCACAACAGCCCCUGGAGUGUGAUGUUCCCCUCCCUGUGUCCAUGUGUUCUCACUGUUGAACUCCCACUUAUGAGUGAGAACAUGUGGUGUUUGAUUUUCUGUUCCUGUGUUAGUUUGCUGAGAAUGAUGGCUUCCAGCUUCAUCCAUGUCCCUGCAAAGGACAUGAACUCAUUUUUUAUGGCUGUAUAGUAUUCCAUGGUGUAUAUGUGCCACAUUUUCUUUAUGCAGUUUAUCAUUGAUGGGCAUUUGGGUUCCAAUCCCUAAGUUUUAUUCAGUAUAUGGUACCAGCUAUAUGCAAUUUGGGUAACCUUGGUCACGUCAUCUCAUUUGCCUGCUCAUUCACGGAUACUUAUUCAACAAAUACCAAUUGAGCAAGAUGUAUGUGCUAGUAUGACAGAGAGAUAGGUCACCUGGGGCCUCAGCUUCUCCACUGCUGAAGACUUGUGCCAGAUCACUGGCUUUCAAUGCAGUGUGGACUCCAGAGCCCUAUUUUAUUAAACAAAUUAGAGUGGAUUCAAGGUUAUUCCUCUAAUAGCUUCACUCCUUGGUAUACUGAAGCUGUCUCAGGUGAAAGAGAAAAUGGUGGAGUGACAGCUAUAGGCUUGGAAUUUUUGUUAUUAUUACCCAGAACUUAAUUGAUCUCUGCCUGAAUUGUUAGGCUGUGUGAGCCUCACUUGCCACAAGGUCUUCAUGAAAAGGAUUGAGAACUGCCGAACUGAAUGUUCUCUGAGAUUCUUUCUAGCUCUGACAUUCUCAGAGUGCUGAGACAGUUUUUCUUUUUUCUUUGUUUUCAUUUAACACUGUUUCACAUGCACAUUUCCAAGACUCCAUAUGGCUGAUUUCCUUGUCAGUCUCAGAAACAGUGCUUCAGUUUUGCUUAGCAGUAGUCCUAUUGGUUCCUGUCUUCCCUUGAUUCCCUCUACUUUUACAGACUUUUUUCAGAGCCUUCAUUUCAAUGAAUCCUAAUGGUGUGUGUGUCUGUGUAUUUGUCCACACUCAAGGUCUUUAUCUGGUACCUACAGGCACUCAGCAACUACCAAUUGGAUGAAUUAGUGAAUUCUUAAUGAUUAUCAAUAACUUCAUCUCACACACACACACAUACACACACACACAGAGAGAGAGAGAGAGAGAGAGAGAAUGAGAGAAAUCAUAACCUUUGGCUUAUUUUACUUCUUUUUUGAGGGUGUUAAUUUUCAAAACGGAAUCGCUAGAUCCAAAGUUUAGCAGCAAGUUUCAUGCUUGUAUUACCAGCUACCAGAUUGCUGUGUUGCCUCUGUUUUAUGUAAGCAGCAGUUUUUCUGAUAACACUUGUGUUAAUUAUUUAUAACAUUAUAAGUAAUUAAUCAAAUCAAGGAGUGUUUUCUCUUCCUUUUUUUCUGGGUGUCAAUAUUCUUUCUAUCCCAAACUCUAGUUGUUUCCCUAAAGCCAUCAAAUAAGAGGUUUGUCCUCUGAGUUUAACCAGAGAAAAAGAAAUGGGCUGCUCCUGCUCUCCACCCUUUGCAAUUUCUGUGAUGAUGAUGAUGAUGAUGAUGAUGAUGAUGAUGAUGAUGAAGGUAACUAUAACAACCCUGUGAGAAUAUUAAUAACCCCAUUGACAGAUGAGGAAACUAAGGCCCAGAGAGAUGAAGUGAUUUGCCCUCAGUCACACAGCUAGAUAUUAGCAAAGACAGGAUUUAUAUCUGGUUCCAUGAGACUCAGAACCUGGCCUCUUUCCACUAAACUACACUACAUCACUCCCCACGUGGAAGUUCAGGGUCAGGAGCCUGGGGAGCAGCAGGUCUGUCAAGUUCUGCAGGGCUGAGCUGUUUAUCAUUGUGGAGGACACUCAUCACUGUGCUAAUUACAUUAAUUGCUGCCCACUCUGUGGCUAGGUGGGUGGCUUAACAACACCUAGCAACGUGGUAACGAUGCCUGGGCCUGUCUUUAUGCAUGAAAACAUCUGCCUUUUUUUUUAAAACUCCUUCCUGUGGUGUCCAAGGAUAGUAAUUACAGGUUCUAUUGGUUGGGAGUUAGUGAUUCUCUACCCUGUAGGGAAAAGGUCAAGACUAUGAACUUUGCCCUCUAUCAGCCUUUUUACUGGAAUCGGGAGGGAAACCGAAGAUUUAUUAAAUAUCAACCCUGUGCUUGACAUUUUAUUUAAGGGAUCUUUUAUAAUCCUCAUGAUUGCUCAAGAAAUAGGAAUUAUAUUAUUCUUAUUUUGUUUAUGAGAGUACACAGUCACCAUGUUGGGGUCACAUAGCAAGCUAGGAGCAGGUGGGAACAGGCUUAGAACUCAGGACUAUCAGUGGACACAUUUAGUCUUCACAAAUUUAUCUACACAACAGCAUCUCGUAACAGAAGACAGUGUCUUUCUAAUGUUUAGAACUGAAUUAUAGUGAGGCCGAGUCUGUAUUUCCAGAGAACAAGCAAGGCAUUAGGAGCUGGUGUUUUGUGGAGUUCUCUAUUGGUAAAGGAUGAAUAUUUGAGAUGUCAGCCUUCCGACCUCCACUCCUUCCCUUAGUUUCUGAAAGAAAUUAACAGUUUUCCAGUUGAUUUUUAAAUAAGUAAUUUCAAGACCACCUCUGUCUACUUGUUGGGAAUGGACAAGAUGGCUUUUGCAAUUCAUCAUAAUUGGGUAAAUGACUUAAUUUUCAGAGACUCAGAUAACAGACGAUAAUUUAGGAAGUAAUUGACUUUGGAAUGUUGUGUAUUCAUGUACUUUAAGGGUGUGCCCAUAUCUAUAUGUGUAGGUAUAUAUGUCAAUAAAUGUGUGGUGCGUGUGUGUGUGUGUGUGUGUGUAUUCUUCAGGAAGACUUAGAGUAGUAGUGGACUUAGAUGACUUGGUUCCUUUUAUACCUGCCAUUUGUCUAUAAAUAAAGUUUAAAUAAAGUUUAGCUUGUAUACUAAAGCUCAGAACAACUACAUCAUAUGAUGAUACAGGGUAGUAGUUAAGAUAUAUGAAGCUAGGCCAGGGUUUGAAUCUUUUUUUUUGUUUGUUUGAAUCUUGGCUCGGUCACUUACCAGCUGCUAUGACUUGGGCAGGUCACUUAACCUCUCUGGGCAUCAGUUUUUUCAUUUCUAGAAAUAGGGAUGAUAACAGUUCUCAUCUCAUGAGGUUCUUCUAUGCCACGGAGGCUUUUGAGACAGGAACUAUGUCUAUACACUUUUCUGCACUCAGCCAGAAUGAGGUUUGGAAGGAGCAGGCUUUGGACUUAGAUACUCGAUUCUGAUUCCAGCACUCCCAUAUUGGCUGUCUGACCUUACAGAAACUAUAUACCUUUUCUGGACCUCAGAUUCCUCAUUUACACAAUCAAGGCUCCUGAUUUCUACCUAAAAUGAUUGCGAUACCACAAGGUGGGACCCAUGAGACCUGGUGCAGCAGUAACACACAGGAGGGAUCCAGCGAAGGUUGGUUCUUUUUCCCCUUAUUCCCAUCCUAGGGUCUUACAUUUAAUAAUUGGUGACUCAGCUCUUGUUUGAUAUGUAAAAUACAUUCUUUUCUCUCAUACUCCAUUUUUCCCUCUCUCCACUAUUUUCCUUCUCCCUUUUCAUAACACUUUCCUUUCUUUUACCUUUUUGGUCAGCUUCUAUCUACUGUGAUUGAUGCCCUCUGUCCAGGUCACCAGCCAUUGUCUCCUGGAUUGUGGCAGCAGCUUUCUAACUUGUCUCCUUGCCUCUAUCUGUCCCUGUUGUUUCAUUCUCCAUGCAGGGCAGUCCUUCUGUAACCUGAACCAGACCUUGCUGCUCCUCUGUGCCACUCCCUUCGGUGGCUUCUCAUCACCAUGGCCUGCAAGGCUCUGUGUGACCUGUCUUCUGGCACUCUCUGACCUCCCUCUUAGCUCAGUCUGCUCCAGCCUCAAAGGCCUUCUGGCUGUUACUGGAACAUUCAAGCACAUUCUUGCUUUGGGUCUUUUAUAAAUAUAUACAUCUGUCUGUGUGUAUAUAUAUAUACACACACAAACACACACAUACACACACACAUAUAUACACACACACACACACACACAUAUAUAGUUCUCUCUUCCUCCAGAUAUCUGUAGGCUUCAUCCUCUCACUUCCUUAGGCCUCUGCCCACAUGGCACCAUAUCAGAAAGGCCUUCCCUGAUGACUUAAUAUUAAAAAAAAAAAAACCCAAACACUCCCAGUCCUCCGUUUUAGUUUUCCUCUUUUCACUUAUCAGUGGCAUAUUAGACACUUAUUCAUUUACUUAUUUAUUUUCUCUCUCCCCUGAGCAGCACGUGACCUCUAUAAGAGCAGACUUGGUUUUGUUUUCUACUGUGUCCCCAGAACCUGGAGCACAGUAAGUGCUCAAUAAAUAUUUGCUGGAUUUUGUGAAUGUGUGUGUCCCCUUUAUGAAAUGGCACGGAAGAGCCUGCACUGACGCUCCAGGUGAUUUGGGGCCUGAAUGGGUCACUGAUCAACUUUUAUCUUAACCAGACCAGGGCGAUGAGGAGAAUUAGGUGGCUGCUCAGGGGCCCUUCACACACAUACCUUUGGGACCGACGCUGUUUCGUCUGCGGCAAUGGCGUGCCUGGCUUUCAUGCUUGUGGUUUGUACCAUAGUUGUGAUGUUGUCUAGAAUUCCCAUGGCAGCUUUACAAUAUGAUUAAUUUUGCUCAUAUAGAUACAUAUCGAUUACGGAUAAAGAUGACUCAAGGUUUAAAUUUAGCCCCACCACAACAAAUUGAAAGUCAGAGGUGUGCUACCUAAUUGCUCCCAGACUAUGAAAACAAAAGCACAAUGUCUGCCAGCACUGAAUCACUCUUCUCCACCCUUUUUCUCCCUUCCCUUCAUGUUCUCUGUCUUAAUUCUGUUCAUGUCGUAAACUGUGGUAGCUUAGAAAAGUGAAAAAUAACAUCCGGAGUCCAAAGUUCCAGUCCUGACACCACCACCUGUUUACUGUGAGAUCUCAAGCAUGUUACCCCACCUCCCUGAGCUUCAGUUUCCUCUUUUGUAGAAUAGACCUACUUGAAAACAGGCGCUCAAUAACAUGUGUUGAAUGAAAGAUGCCUAAGUGAGACAGCAUGGGUAGAAUGUCUAGCCUAGGGUGAGCACUCAAUAGAUGCUAGUCACCGGCCAUGCUAACUGAUGCACCUGACUGUGCUGUCUUCAUGAACUUUCUUUGGCUUUGGUUAACCAUUAGGAUAGGCAACCCAGCUGAAAACAGAGGAUGGCUCAUGACAAGGCCGUUCCUAAUCAGUCUCUCACAAGGGCUUUUAUGGAGGCCCUACUAUGCGUACAGCAAGGUGUAAGAUUCAGGGGUGGGUGGAGCAUCAAGCCAGCGAGAGGCAUAGUUUCUGCUGCUAUUGGUGCCCUGUGGCUGCUGUAACAAAUGACCACAAGCUUUGUAGCUUAAAGCCACAGAAAUGUAUUCGCUCACAGUUCUAGAGGGCAAAGCAUUUGAAAUCAAAAUGUUGGCAGGGCCACGCUCCCUCCAAGGGCCCUAAGGAAGAAUCCACUCUCUGCCUUUUGCAGCUUCUGGCGACUCCUGGUGUUGCUUGGCUUGUGGAAGCACACCUCCAUUCCGUGCCUCUGUCUUCACAUGAUCUUCCCUACUGUGUGUCUCUGUGUCUCAAAUCUCCCUCUCCUUUCUCUAAUAAGGAAACCAAUCAUUGGAUUUAGGGUCUACCCUAAAUUCAAAAUGUUUUCAUCUUGAGAUCCUUAACUUAAUUACAUCUGCAAGGACCCUAUUUCUAAAUAAGUUCACAUUCAUAAGUGUUGGGGUUUGGGGUUUAGGGUUUUGACAUCUUUUGUUGGGGUCCCAAUUUAACCCAGCUACAGUGGCCUCCAGGAAUUUCAGAUUAGGGAAAGGAAGAGCACACACAGAUGAACAAAAAAAGUUUCAAGUAGAGUUUGUAAGACAAAUCUUAUUUGAAGGUGGUUAGUGGGGGGUUGAUCCAUUAAUUUUUUGAUCCAGAAACGUUCACUGAGCCCCUGCUAUGCUGGGUGCUGGAGAUAGAAAUGAGGAAGCACAGUCUCUGCCUUCAAGGAGUUCACAGACUGCUUCAAUGAACAGAGAAGCAGGCAUUUAUUGUUGAGCAUGGUAGGAGCUGUGGUAGAAGUAGACCCCUGAUGCGAUGGGCAUUAGCAGGUCUGAGUUACAACCCUCGGGGCUGGUGUUCAGAGAGGGCUUUCUGCAGGAAGUAUUAUCCCUUCCAAGGCCUAAAGGUUGAGGGAGUAGGAGCUGGCCAGGCCCAAGCGGGAAUGGUUCUAGGAAGAAGGAAUGGAGGAAAGACAGGCUGGCCUGUAUAGGUUCUGCACUACGUAGGGGGCUGGAGAGGUGCACAAGGGAUCAGAUUGAAUGGGAUGCUGAAAACCACAGAAAGCUAUGGAGAGCCGUAGAAAGACUGUAGGGAGGGGAGUGACAUGACUAGAUCUGUAUGUUAAAAAUAAAAAUUGGAGAAGGUCUUUUGAGAAAAGUGAUUUUCUAAUAGAAUUUUAUUUGAUCCUUUUUUUUAAAAAAGAAGCAUAACAUAUAUACAGAAAUGCAUACAAGUCGUAAGGGUGUAUUUUGAUGAAUGAUUACAAAGUGAAUAGCCCUGUGUAUAUACUGCUUAGGUUUUCCAGAUGUAUAGGUUGUCAGAGUACAGGCAGAAUAGAGGAGAGAUGGCCUAAUCAUUUGGAAUUUCUCUUCUUUGUCCUGUGGAGAAAUGGCUUUCAUAACAGAAAGAAUAUGGGAUCUAGGGUAGAAAGGCUCAGUUUUGAGCUCUAUAUCUGGUAUUUCCUUUUUGUAUGAUCUCAGGCAAAUGGCUACACUUUCCUUAUCCUCAGUUUCACUACUGAGAGUGGACUAGCUAUGUCUUCUUCACUAAGAUGGUGUGCAGGUAAAAUAGGACAAAGCUGGUAAAAAGCUCUCUGCAUUAUGCAAAAUAGUUGCCCAUAUAAUUCUCAAAUUCCAAUCUGUCUCAGAUAUGGACUGCUUCACUUUAUCUUCUUCCUUCUUUAUAUGACAUUUUGACAGAUGAAUGAGGAGGGAAGGAGGUGAGGGAGUUUCUCUUUUUGUAAUGCUUUUUUUUUUUGGUUUUGUUUUCCAUUUCAAAAUGCCAGCCACCUCUGGAGUGGCUCUCCUAUACCCUUCUCUGUCCCUACUCUUCCUGCUCAUUGCUGGCCAUCUCACCCAACCAGGUCCAAAGAGGCAGGGGAAGGAGGGCAGGAAUGAGGGCAUGAAAAGAGCUUCGAGGUGAAAAGAAGUCCCUUCGUCUUCCUUGAGGGUCCCUGCUGUCCCCAGCUGUGCACUAGGCAUUUGGGAUGGAGGUGGGGGGAUGUAGAUGGGAAACAUGCCAUUCACUUUCAGUGUGAUGUCAAGACUGUUGAGGCAAAAUGAAAACAGCCUAGGCCGGGCGCGGUGGCUCACGCCUGUAAUCCCAGCACUUGAGAGGCCGAGGCGGGCGGAUCACGAGGUCAGGAGAUCAAGACCAUCCUGGCUAACACGGUGAAACCCCGUCUCUACUAAAAAUACAAAAAAAAGUUAGCCAGGCGUGGUGGCAGGCACCUGUAGUCCCAGCUACUCGGGAGGCUGAGGCAGGAGAAUGGCGUGAACCCGGGAGGCAGAGCUUGCAGUGAGCCGAGAUCUGGCCACUGCACUCCAGCCUGGGCAAGAGAGUGAGACUACGUCUCAAAUAAAAAAACAAAAACAAAAACAAAAAAACAGCCUAAUAGCAGGGCAAGACCAGCUAAGGUCAAAGUCUUAGUGUCAGAAGCAAAUAGCCCCAAAGGAGGCUGGAAACAGAAGAGACCACUUCACUGGGUAAAACACCUGCAGAAGGUGAGCUCAGUGCUAGGCUCUCCCUUCUCUCCUCUCAUUUCAAAUUCUUGGCAUUUUAUGCAAUAAAUAUUUUUAAGCACCUAUAGCAUAUCAGACCAUUAUUUUAUACACAUUGUUUUAUUUGAUCCUCAGAACAACACUAAAAGCUAAGUAUUAUAAUUACCAUCUUUUGGAGGAAGGGGACCAAGAUUUACAGAUUUGCUCAAGAUCACACCACUGUUAAAAGAAGGAAAUAGCUUUGAACCCACACCCAUCCAGUCCCACAAAUCCUGCUCUUUCCACUCUGCUAUACCGUUCGUUGAACGUAUGUGGAAGGGAGCCACGCGCUUUAUCAGGCUGCAUCACAUUGCAUGCAUUUUUAGUAUAUGUGUGCACAUGCCAACAGGCAUGUGGGAAUCCUGCUGGGUGAGUUGUAAUGAGGGCGUUUUGAGUGGCUAGAUGCAUUUUUGCUGGUGAGGCCUGGCUCAAGGAGAACAGGAAAGGAAGCAUACAGACCCAAUGUGUGGGAGGCUAGUCACACGGUGUGAGGGCUUGUCCUUGAACAAACUAUUGGGAAAUGGGUCUGUUAAGCCCUGGUGAAACUUUACUUUACUGGGGGGCCCCUAGGUUUUUCCAUGACUAUUUGAUUUCCAAAGCAUAAUUCAUUCCCAAUUCUUGAAAAAAAAGAAAAAGCAAUAUUUGUUUAGCACCUCCUGUGUGCCAGGCAUGGUGCUUGGUGCUUUACAUAUGUGACAUCAUUUAAUUCUCACAAACCCUUGCCCAUUAAUGCCACUGUUCAGCCCAGGAGACAGAUUCAGGAAGUUCAGGCGAUUUGUUCAAGAUUGUUCAGCUGGUGUGGAGCAGCACUGGGGUUCCUGCCCUGUGCUGUUCAACAGCAAUCCACACUGGCAUUUUAAAGUUAUUGGUGGGACAUUCUGUCUUUUAAUAUAGUUGUAAAUUAUCUCUAAUCAUGAGAUAGGAUGACAGCAUACUGAUCCUUCCUCUCCUCUUUUAGAAAAAGAAAGGCAUUAUCUUUUCAUUCCUGAGCAACUAAGAUUCUUUGCCCCAGAGGUAAAAAUCUCCACUCCAGGUUACUCAUGUGUCAUUGUCCGGAGGGUACAAUUGCUACUCUUGCUUUCGUUUGGCCCUUUUUCUUCUUCUUUUCCUAAGGUACCUGGCCUCUUUCAAGAUAUCUCUCACUCCCCCAUACCCAUCACUAUAGUAUAAGGCUGCUGAGGUGGCACAGCCAUGAUAAGGAAGGCAGGGACCUGUGGCCUGGAUGAGCCUGUAGUCAGACAGACCUGGUGUGUAUGGAGUCUAGAGGCCCUUCUGAGGUUUGAGAUAGGCCUAAUAGUCUCCCAAAGACCCCUGGUCCCUGCUCACCUAGUGCCAUCAUAGAAGGGAAAAGAUGUUCUUGGUGUCACUGGAGAACAUUUGGCCUUGGAGAUAAGUGUUUGGGCCACCAGCCCCCUUCAAGAAUAUAUAGCAAUUAUGAGUGUCUGGAUGGACUUCAUUUUUUGCACUGGGCGGAUGGAUUAACCAAACCUCCCAGAAGCGGAAUGAAUAACAAAGAGGAAGGUCUUUGCAAUUCUAGGGCUUGUCCUUUCACAUCUCUUUUAAGGCUUGUGAAAGCAGCGAGCAGUGGGGAGGGAGAUGGGUGGAAUGGGCAUUUGUUAACGAGGAGAAAUCCUGAGAUGCUUGGUUGUGUGACCUGGGGUUGGGAAGCCACUCCACUUCACAUCUCUGAGUCUCAAUUUUCCCUUCUGCCAUUUGGCAAAGGGAAUGCUUCCCUUCCUCUUCCCCUGCCCCAGAUGGCUGCUGUGAGAAUGAGAUGAGAAUAUGUUUAGGGUUUUGGAGUGAUGUCCGAACUCAGAGAAGGUGCUUAGGCCAAAGUCAAGAGGCCUGAGGUGUACUCCAGACUCUGCCCUGAACUCAGUAUCUCUUCUUUCUGGGGCUUCCUUUCUAUAAAAUGGGGGAAUGAGGGUAGCUUUCUUUCUUUUUUUUUUUUUUCCCUCAAUGGUCACUUUUGAUUUUAAAUGCCAUAAUGCCAUGACUGUUUUCUCAAAGUAGAGGAUUAGAUGCAACUUUUAGGAGAUAAAUGGAUCAUUUAAUAGUUACCUGUUCAGUCAUUUAAUAAAUAUUUAAUGAGGACCUACCACAUGUCAGCCACAGUGCUAGGUAAGGGAUAGAAUAACAAACAAAACAGACGUAGCCCCUGCCCUCAUGGAACUUCUAGUCUAGUAUAAGACUGUUUGGAAGAACUUCCUCAUCUCAGAUAGUUGAAGAAGUUUCAGGGCUCCAAGGGGAAUGUCGUUAGUUAAAAGAACAAUGUCAGGAAUGUGUAAUAGGUGCUCAAAUAUUUGUUAAAUGAAUAAAUCAAUACAAGCACCUGAAGGAAGCUCUUGCAGUGACCCUAGAGUUAGGAGCAGUUCUUUGGAGUCCAGAAAGACUGUGGGAGCUCUGGCAAAGGGUGUAUGUAAUUGCUAAAUAGUUUGUUUGUUGAGACACCUGUGGAUGGGAGGAUCUGCCCCUACCUGCCUGGUUCUCAAGGUGGCCACUUACUGGGAACAACGAUGGCUUCACUUGCCAGGUCUUUUCCCCAGAGGUGGAGCCCAUGCAGAUGCUGGAACUGAAGGGGGGAAGGGAAAAGUGGCCAGGGAAAAAUGCCAGUGUUUGUAUGACAUUUGGGCUAAGCCCAGAGGACCCGUAGAGAUUGUGGGGUCUCAUCUGUAUCCUGUCAGAGGGGUAACUGAGGCCUGGAUGGGAUGUGAGGUCACAAAAGAGUUGGCUCCAAGCCAUGUCAGGAGGCUGGAUGGGGAGGUGGGAAGAACCUGGGCUUAGGAGUUGGAGAGCACUUGGGUUUGAAGGCUGUGGAUCCUUGGAUAAAUCACUUAAUCUCUCUGAAUCAGCUUUCUCAUCUGUUGAAGAGACAUCACAGUGGUGGCAUCUGAAAGAUGUCAUGAGGUAUAAUGUGUCUCGGACACCUAAAAUCAGGACCCAGGACUAACUAUAGACCUGAUAAUCAGUAUUUAUAAUUAUUACAUUAUUAGGACCCAGGUCCUAUUUCUGUGCAAUGUUGAAAGAUAGUGAUAAGAACAAUUUAGAUCAGAACUUACAAGUUUGCAUGAUCUUCAUUAUAAACGAAAUAGUGAAACAAUGCUGAGCGGAUUUACAGAGGCGUAACUCAUUCAUUAACCAGCUUAGAUAGGCAUUUUUCCCUCUCUUUGGGAUUGGUUUUCUCUUCUGUUAAAUGGGGAUAAUUUUUAUGCUCAACCUCUUCUCAUCCAUCUAUUAAACAUUUAUUGAAUACCUAUUAGGAGUCAUAAUAUGCUUAGUGCUGAGGACACAGGAAGAGGACAUAGUUCCUGACCCUAAGGAGCUCAUUACCUAGUGGGACACUAUUAAACAGAUACAACACAGAAUAGUAUGUAUAGAGCAUGGUAUGUAGCAGGGGCCUUGUCUGAGUGGACAAGGAGGCUUCCUAGAGGAAGCAACAUUUAAAGCUGAGGGCUGAAGGAUGAAUAGGAUUUAACCAAGUAAAAGUAAGAAAGGAAGUGGGGAGCUGGAAAGGGCAUUCCAGGAAGAAGAAACUGCAUGUGCAAAGGCCAGGAGGUCAGAGCGCACAGUGGAUAUGACGAUGUGGCUAGCUGAGCAUGUCUGUGCAGUGUCAACUUUGUUGUGAACACAGAGGGAGGCUACUGGGAGAUUUUAAGCAAGAGAGUUGGAGUAUGAUCACAUUUGCAUGUUAGAAAGAACACUCAGGGUUCUAUGCACUUGAAUGAAGUUUUAUUAUGGAGAGCAGUUGGAACAAGUCGAUUCUUUCCUCCUCCUCCAUCAUCCUCCUCUUUUCCCUGUCCACAUAACAUGGCUCACAUGAGAUAAAAUAACCCACACAAGCAUGCCUUGUGUAAUGUCUGCCACAUAGUAGGUGUCCAAUUAUCAUAUAAUUCCCCCCUUUUUAAAUGUAGUUCCUGAAAGAGAAAUCCCCUGGCAUGAAGCACAAGUUGGGGCAAAAAAGGUGAGGGUGUGGCUGUUUGUAUCUUCUGGCUGGUGUUUGGGUAUAGCCGACAGGAUUUAGGUCAGAGGAAGUUCCCCAGACAGUUCAGCCUCAACCAGUCAUCUGGGGUUUCAGGGAGGGCAGGUGAAGGUCAUAAUAUCCCCCUAUUUCAGGAGGCCACCCCUCCCCAGGAUCCUGAUCUUGAAAAUGUACCAGACAUGGACCAUUGCGUUAAUUUGUCUGGGUUGGCUUCCUCAUCUGUAAAAUGGGUAUAAGGUUACCUGUGCUGUCAGCCACAUGGGGUUGUUGUAAGAAACAGAAAAGUGUGAACCACCACAAAAUAAUAUAAGACUACAUUAAUUAAUGGCUACCCUGGGCUGGGCCUUGUUCUGUGAAGUAGAUAUUAUCAAUUAUCCCUAUUAUACAGAUAGCAAAACCAAGGGUCAGAGAGAUUAUGUGAAUCACCCACAGGCACAGAAUAAGUAGCUGGAGCUGGAGCACUGGCAUUUUAACCACAACACUGUGACACCAUGAUUUGUUCUCCCUUGAAAACCACCUCCUGCUCCCUGAGCUCUUAGCUUGAUGCAGUACUCCAGAAAUGAGUGUAGAAAGAUGGAAGAAGGAAGGAAAGGGGCAGUGUUUGAAGUCUGAGAGUCUUUCCAGAUGCCUCCCUACUCCUCACCCCACCAACUCAGGGUCUUCUUCCAGAUGCACUCUGGGAAAUGGCUCAUGGCAUCCUUUUAAAAUGACCUGUUACCUGACUCCUCACUAGAUGGAGACAGGUGGGGGAAGGGACUGUCUGGUUUGUGUUGGUAUCCCCAGGGUCUAGUACAAUGGCUGGCACUCAGUAAAUAUUUGUGAAUAAAUUCCUCCUGUCAUUGUCUGAAUUUUCUGCCCAUGCUGUCCUCUUGGCCAAGAGGUCUAAAAGCAAAGGAGCUGGGGCUUCUGGAAAGUCUUCCAAGGUCAGUGGAUGCAUGUGUGAUGGAGGCCCAGCAAGAGGUCAGUGUGUUGCCCUGGGGCAAGCCUGCAGGAUGGACCCAGAGGGCUGGGGUGGCCGGCUUCAUCCAGCUCAUUUUUCCCAAGGGAUCUGGCGCUCACAGGCUGCACACAGAGCCCACGUGUUGUGUUGCGUGAGGACCCCUAAGGAUUUGUUGAGUGGUCCUAGGUGCUCAAGUCACUGUACCUGCAGGGUGGCUUGAGCUGGGCCCACCUGACUGAUUGGCUGGUCAAUAGGUGGCCUGAGAACCAAAACUAGCCUCCAGCACAUUAAGCAACCGGCUUCCUUCCUGCCCCCGGUCAGGAGCUGGGCCAGGGAAAGUGAAGAAACCUGUUUGGGGCCUCGGCAGGGUGGGCGUGGGUGGGGCCCUGCCGGGAAAAGAGGCACCUAGACCAGUUAGUUUCCUUUGCUCCAGGACCGGAUGCAGAGCCGGGACUCAGGUGGAGGCAGGAAAAAUACGCACCCUGGGUGCACCUGUAAGUCCUCCAGGACUACAUUGGUUUUGGCUAUGACAUGACCAGGGGCUCUGGGUUGGUGGUCACCGGGCGUGGGGCUUCUGGCUGCUAAAUCAGGAGAGUGAGCGGGCCGGGCGGCGGCGAAUGAGUUGACGGGUGGAGCUGGAAGAGGCUUUGGCGAUCCAGCGGGCAAGCGAAGGACACCGGGGGAAGGGGUGGUACCCGGAAACGCAGCUGGGCAGUCGCGCCGCUCCCCUGUCCUCGCCAGCGCGCUUUCUCUUCCUGGCCGCUGCGCCUCCUCCGGGCCCCGCGGUGGCGUGAAAGGCGCUCAGGACAGACUUGUAUUUGAAUCCAAGCUGUUCCACCCACACGCUUUUGUUCUUGGGCGAGUGACUUCUAUCUGACCCAGAGUUUUCCCAGACGAAAGUGGGAAGACGGUGCCUACCCCAAAGCGUCGUGGGAAUGAAAGUCAAUGAAGUGACAUAGGAAAGGUGCCUAGCACAUGGCAGAUUCCUAUCAGGCGAAGGCCGCCUUUCCUGGCCUCCCGCACAGGCCCGCCAGCGAUUCGUCCUUACAAGGCUAGCCUCCGCAGGCUGCCCUCUGUGUAAAUAAAGCCACAGACUUCCGCCCACAGGUCGCCGCAGGUCCCGCCCGCAGCGCCGGGCCGCGGGGGAGGCGGGAACUGGUGCUACCGCCGCUACGCAGGCCUCGGGAGGCUCGGAGCCCGCCACGCCCCAGCCCUCGCGCAGGGCCGGGGAGCCACGGGGCCAAAAGGAGGAGCAGGUGGAAGAAAUCCAGGCUCAGACCGUCGGAGUCCCCACCCAUGAGCACCCUUCUCCACUGAUCACUCAGAACAUGGUAGGCCCUAGAGAGACAGCAGCCCGACUCUUCCCAGAAACCCUGCAGGAGAUUCCUUCUUCCCAUUUUAUAGAAGGGAGGCUGAGGCUCGGCACGUUUAAAUGGCUUGACCAAGGUCCCACAGGCAAAAAAAUGGUACAGCAAGAUAUUGUAACCCAAUGUCUGGCUGCAAAACCCAGUCUGUCCCCAACCCACCUAUCGUCACCGAGAUUGUAAAACUUCUAACCGGGAAGAAUCAAAUACAUGCACAACGGGUUACAGGUUAACAGACAGAUGGGAGCGGAAAGGGACAUUCCAGCGCUUCCCUGGGCGUGUCGCACAGGGCAACUCCAACCACAGGCGAAUUUUCCUGGGUGACAGUUAUACUCCUUUUUGCAUGAAAAAAUACAGAUCCUUAUUAAAACAAUAAUCGAUUAGACUAUAAAACUCUCAAAGUUAUUUCGGAUCAAAAUUAUUUUCGGCUGUUUCCACACCUUUUUUUCUCGAUUGUGCAGAAAUUCUUCAAACCGUGUGCACAGAUGGGCAAACUGAGACCCGGACGAGUCCCAUUGAGAGAGGGAGGCAGAGCCGGGGUUGGGAGAAGACUGAGAUUUCUGGGCUCCGGCUUGGAGUGUUUCCGCUGGGUGGGGGCGCCGGUUUGCGAAGAGCUUUCCUCGGACAGCUACUGCUGCUUUUUGUCGCUCAGCCAGCCAAGUGGGGGCGAUUCUGAGUAAUCGCAAGCAAUCAGCGCGGCUGGGGUUAAAAGCGAAAGGGACUCGCGGGCGAGCGGCCGGGGAGGGCGGCGGGCACACAGCCCAGACGCCGGCAAAGGCGGGGCGCCGCCGGGGUUCCCUCGGUGCGAGCGCGCGCGGCACUUCCUGCUUUUGCUCCUCCCUGCGGUCCUGCCGGCCGUUGUAAACUGGCUCUGCGGGCCACACCCCUGUUCCAGGCCCGCUAACCCACCGGCGGCCCCAGAGCCCCAGGCGGCCCCAGAGACCCAGCCUCAAUCCUCAAUCCUCGUACAGUCCUCAGGUCCAAGUCCUGGCCACAGGAACGCCAGCCAGAUCUGCAGCUCAGCUAGCUGAAUUUCAGGUUCCAGAGACCUGGCCCUUUUCUUCCACGUAGGGGACAGUCAGGUUCUCUGGCCUGGGUUUUCUAAAAGUAUCCAGAGUUGAACUACCUUUCCACUCAGCAAUCCCAUUACUGGGUCUGUACCGAAAGAAAAAUAAGUGGUUCUUCCAGAAAGACACAUGAAUCCCUAUGUUCAUCGAAGUGCUAUUCACAAUAGCAAAAACUUGGAAUCAACCCAGGUGCUUGUCAAUGGUGGAUUGGUUAAAGAAAAUAUGGCUCAUACACACCAUGGAACACUAUGCAGUCAUAAAAAGAAUGAAAUCGUGUCCUUUGCAGCAACAUGGAUGCAGCUGGAGGCCAUUAUCCUAAGUGAACUAAUCAGGAAAAGAAAAUCAAAUACCACAUAUCCUCACUUAUAAGCAGGAACUAAACAAUGGGUACACAUGGACAUAAAGGUGGACAUGAUAGACACUGAGGACUACUAGAGUUAGUGGGAGAGGGAGCAGAGCAAGGGCUGGAAAAUUACCUCUUGGGUGCUAUGCUCACUAUCUGAGUGACAAGCUCAAUUAUACUCAAAACCUCAGCAUUAGACAAUAUACCUUUGUAACAAACCUGCACAUGUACCCCCAAUUAUAAAAUAAAAGUUGAGACG